rnacentral:rRNA from 1 species
UCCGGAUUUAUNGGGCGUAAAGGGAGCGCAGGCGGUCAGGAAANUCUGGAGUAAAAGGCUAUGGNUCAACCAUAGUGUGCUCUGGAAACUGUCUGACUUGAGUGCAGAAGGGGAGAGUGGAAUUCCAUGUGUAGCGGUGAAAUGCGUAGAUAUAUGGAGGANCACCAGUGGCGAAAGCGGCUCUCUGGUCUGUCACUGACGCUGAGGCUCGAAAGCGUGGGUAGCGAACAGGAUUAGAUACCCUGGUAGUCCACGCCGUAAACGAUGAGUGCUAGGUGUUAGGCCCUUUCCGGGGCUUAGUGCCGGAGCUAACGCAAUAAGCACUCCGCCUGGGGAGUACGACCGCAAGGUUGAAACUCAAAGGAAUUGACGGGGGCCCGCACAAGCGGUGGAGCAUGUGGUUUAAUUCGAAGCAACGCGAAGAACCUUACCAGGUCUUGACAUCCCGAUGCUAUUCUUAGAGAUAGGAAGUUACUUCGGUACAUCGGAGACAGGUGGUGCAUGGUUGUCGUCAGCUCGUGUCGUGAGAUGUUGGGUUAAGUCCCGCAACGAGCGCAACCCUUAUUGUUAGUUGCCAUCAUUAAGUUGGGCACUCUAGCGAGACUGCCGGUAAUAAACCGGAGGAAGGUGGGGAUGACGUCAAAUCAUCAUGCCCCUUAUGACCUGGGCUACACACGUGCUACAAUGGUCGGUACAACGAGUUGCGAGCCGGUGACGGCAAGCUAAUCUCUGAAAGCCGAUCUCAGUUCGGAUUGGAGGCUGCAACUCGCCUCCAUGAAGUCGGAAUCGCUAGUAAUCGCGGAUCAGCACGCCGCGGUGAAUACGUUCCCGGGCCUUGUACACACCGCCCGUCACACCACGAGAGUUUGUAACACCCGAAGU